AUUCAAUUUUAGAGAAAAUACAUCUUUUCCCCUUUGAACUUGUCAUCCCAACUCACUUUAGCACUUAAAUUUAACUUCAAGUAAAUUAAAUUCGCCCCUAUAGCUGACAUGACAAAAAUAAAAAGGAAAAGCGAGUGAAAUUUUUAAUUUUUAAAAAAGGGGCUCACUUUAUUGUUAUUAUUAUUAUUUUCUUUAUUGUUUGGUCCUCUUUAUUGCCUGAUCACUAAAGGUCCUCUUUAUUGUUUUCAAUUCUGCUGAAAAUUUUCUCUCUGAAUUAUGUGGUACAGGUCUGUUGGAAAAAAUUUGCGAGGUACUUUGAGGUUGAAUUGAAGAAGGUGAAACUAAAAGAAGGUACCAUGUAAUGGAUCCUGCCAAAGCAGUGGAGAUGGUGGAUGAGAAUACAAUAUGUGUUGUCGCUAUUCUUGGUUCCACUCUGACGGGGGAAUUUGAGGAUGUGAAGCUCCUAAACGAGCUCCUUACAAAAAAAGAACAAGGAAAUUAGGUGGGAUACACCGAUCCAUGUCGAUGCUGCCAGUGAAGAAUUUAUUGCUCCUUUCUUGUGGCCAGAUUUUGAAUGGGAUUUCCGCCUGCCUUUAGUGAAAAGUAUAAAUGUCAGUGGCCAUAAGUAUGGCCUUGUAUAUGCUGGUGUCGGUUGGGUGAUAUGACGGAGCAAGGAUGAUUUGCGUGAUAAACUUGUCUUUCAUAUAAACUACCUUGGAUCUGAUCAGCCUACUUUUACUCUCAACUUCUCUAAAGGUUCCUAUCAAAUAAUUGAUCCAAAAUUUUAUUUUUUGACAAUCAAGAAGGCUUCAAGAUUGAUAAACAAGUUUGGUUCUUGGCCAAGAAUUUCAUGUCAUGCGAAUACCAUCUAUGUCAUUUCUGAAUUUGGGACUGUUUAUACCAUUUCUGUAGACAUUUUUUAGCAAAAGAUUAAAAAUUUGAGAGUUUUGAAAUUUUAGGUUUUGAUUAAUGUGAAAGAAUUUGGAUUUGAGAUUUUGUGUAUUGAUGUAUUUUUAUGAUCAUGUACUUGUAUUUAGUCCAUUGUUGAA